UAAAAUGUAUUACUAUUAUUAUUAGUUUGUUCAUAUUUCUUCAUCAAAAUGUCUCUUCAGCUUCUGCCACAACAAAAAUUUCUUCAACUGAGACUCAAACAUCCACAACAUCUUUAACAUCUCCUGUCAGUUUAAACUCUUCUAUAACUCAGUCUCAAACAGCAGCACUUAUAGCAUCUGCUGCCAAUACAAGCACUUCCACAACUGAGUCUCACAUAGCAGAAUUGACACCGUCCCCUGCCAAUUCAAGUACUUUUCAAACAUCAGGACCAACAAGUAAGCAUUGCUGUAUUGUCGUUGUUUGAACACUUUGUUAGAAACGAUUAUACUGCUGUUGUUUAUUGUAAUAAUCAGUACUACAUGUAUUUCAAAUCACCUCCCAUCAUGCAUCAGCUUCUGCAGUAAUAUUAACAGUGUGCACUGUUUACAAUUAUUAUGUGAUGUUUGUUAAAAAUAAGUUUAAUGACAU